rnacentral:rRNA from 1 species
GACGAACGCUGGCGGCGUGCCUAAUACAUGCAAGUAGAACGCACAGUUUAUACCGUAGCUUGCUACACCAUAGACUGUGAGUUGCGAACGGGUGAGUAACGCGUAGGUAACCUGCCUGGUAGCGGGGGAUAACUAUUGGAAACGAUAGCUAAUACCGCAUAAUAUUAAUUAUUGCUUGAUAAUUAAUUGAAAGGUGCAAUUGCACCACUACCAGAUGGACCUGCGUUGUAUUAGCUAGUAGGGGAGGUAACGGCUCACCUAGGGGACGAUUCAUAGCCGACCUUGAGGGGUGGUCGGCCACACUGGGACUGGGACCCGGCCCAGACUCCUACGGGGGGCAGCAGUAGGGGAUCUUCGGCCAUGGACGGAAGUCUGACCGAGCAACGCCGCGUGAGUGAAGGAGGUUUUCGGAUCGUAAAGCUCUGUUGUAAGGGAAGAACGGGUGUGAGAGUGGAAAGUUCACGCUGUGACGGUAUCUUACCAGAAAGGGACGGCUAACUACGUG